GAUGAGGGGUGCGAGAGGAUCCCUGCUGUCUGCUGGAGGAGUGGCCAUCACAGAGCACUUGACUUCCAUCCAUCUGCCUCCACAUCAGAAAUCCUCCUGACUUCUCAUCCUACUGAAAUUUGCAAACAUCAGUGUCUUCUGUGUGACCCCCUGUCCUCUCUAAGUCUGGUGGUAGUCUCUGGAGCUGCAGAAGGAGAGAAAAGAUCUUGAUGCCUCUUUUCUUUAUGGAGGCAAUACAGCGCACUGUGGAAACUGUGGUGGCUGGAGAUGUAAGACCAUGUCAUGACAGCAAAUGGGAUGCAGUCCUGAAGGUGUGACAGUAAGCAACAUUGUUGUGACUGCUACAGGACAGAGUUUAGAGCUGUAUGAAAUGAGCCAGUCCUUUACCGUCGCCGCAUUCAGGUCGCUGUGUUUUUGGACACAAGGGCUGACCCAUAGGUUGAAUGGAGCCAGGUAGCUCUGCCGAAGCCAGGCGAUUGCUGCUGAUCAAAACUAGCCAGCAUUUUGUUCUGUUCUUCUACUUUUUAUGGGGAAAAUUUGUUUAUGGCUCUAUAUUAGCCAAAAAAAG
rnacentral:lncRNA from 1 species